GUUCGGUGCUCUGAUCAAUCUCCGAGUGAGCAGAAUAGUGCUUUACAAACAGUAGACCCUUAAACAUUUUUUAACUCGGAUCUCAUGCUGAAAAGAUGUAUGUAUGGGUUUAAGGUUGUGGCAAAUGAACUAGAGUUAGGGCUGUAUCCUGGUCUUUCUGUACAUGCCAAAGUAGAAGCUGUCUUGAUGGAAUACUAUUUUGCUUGUGGCCUUGUUAAAGCACAGAAGGUUGUACAUACUAUUGCACAUUAUUCUUCAUGCUCCCUCCAUGCUGCCCUAGUGUUUUGUUAAAUGGAUUGUUUUUUUUUUUUUUUUAAGAGCCAUCACCUGGUAUGUUUUAUUCACUAAUGAUCAGUGAUCUCUACUAACUUAUGCUGAACUCUAAAACUUAGUAGGUUAAAAAGGUGCUUAAUUGCCAAGUUCAAGGCUUAUUCUUUCAAUGUAGCAUAAACAGAUUAUAAUGGUGAUGGGUGUUUGUUUGUUUUUAUGCUGGGGUCUGAAUCUUUGAUAUGUUCUACCACUGAAAUCCCCCAAUUCUGAAAAGGUUUUAUGGAGGUCCUUCUUUUAAAUGGGAGAGUGCAAAAAGAUGCAGUGCAAAUAAGGAGAGCAAAUAAUUUUCAGGAGAUUGAAAACAAAAGAAAUGAAGAAUAAAGGAAAGUUAGAGCAGUCUUUAUUAUAGUUUCAACGUUUACCCCUCUAACUUCAAUGCUUUUAAGAAAGCAGUAAACCUUACGCUGUAAGAUAACAUUAUCACACUGUAACUGUCCUGUUUGCACAAUUCUGUGCUUCAUAGACCAUAUCAGUGUGUGGCACAGUGAUGGACGGUGUUUAACAACAUUCUCAUGAUGACAUAUGAUUUUCCCCAUAUGUUUUGGUUCAGCUCCUUAUAAGACCCAGGAGUGAGCCCAGGAGUGAGAAGUAGUCUUGUUAAUCCUUCUGACCACUAAACACAAAGGAGCCAUGGAUUUUUCUAUGCACUUUUAGCUGGAGCCUCAAAAUGGGGAACAAGCUGUCCUCUCUAUUGUAGGCAGCCUCACUACAAACACAUGAGAAGCUGCUUGUAGAUGUAUUUCAUGCUUACAUUUCAUACCUGGUCUGUAUUUAAGGAAGUUUUGAAGUGAUGUUGUACAAUUAGUAUUCGUGUAGGUACUUUGUAUGUAUAGCCAACUAUGAUAAAUCUAGUUUGAUGUCCUUCCAAGGAUGUGCAUUAGGUAAUAUGUCCUGUAAGGCAGGUUAUUUACUGGCUCUAUUCCUCAGUUUUUUCAUUUGCCAAAUAGUUAUUAAACC
rnacentral:lncRNA from 1 species